rnacentral:rRNA from 1 species
CCUACGGGAGGCAGCAGUGAGGAAUAUUGGUCAAUGGCCGGAAGGCUGAACCAGCCAUGCCGCGUGAAGGUCAGUGCCCUAUGGGCGUUAAACUUCUUUUGUGCGGGAGCAAUAAUGGUCACGUGUGGCCAGACGAGAGUACCGUACGAAUAAGCAUCGGCUAACUCCGUGCCAGCAGCCGCGGUAAUACGGGGGAUGCAAGCGUUAUCCGGAUUUAUUGGGUUUAAAGGGUGCGUAGGCUGUGAGGUAAGUCAGCGGUGAAAUGCCCCCGCGCAACGGGGUGAAGUGCCAUUGAUACUGCCGUGCUGGAAUGCUGAUGCCGUGGGAGGAAGGGGGGGUGGAGCGGUGAAAUGCAUAGAUAUCACACAGAACACCGAUUGCGAAGGCAUCUCAAGAAUCCGCUAUUGACGCUGAUGCACGAAAGCGUGGGUAUGAAACAGGAUUAGAUACCCUUGUAGUU